rnacentral:ncRNA from 1 species
AACCAUCAGGGGUGCCACGACUGUCCCGCGACAGUCUGAUAAGGCUGAGAUCAUACCCUUCGAACCUGAUACGGAUAAUGCCGAUACAGGGAGAUAA